AGAACUAAAUAUCCCAUUUAUUAAUUUAUAAACCGUUAUAAAACCAGUCAGACAUUUCCCCUCACCAGCAGAUCUUGCAUUGGAAAAGGAAAACAAUAUACAAAUUUCAGCAACCUCAAACAUUUCAUUAAACCUGCAGAGAGGCAUAAUUCAUCUUGGAAUUCAAUUAUCGUUCAAGGAAUCAGUUACUAUCCUCAUAAAGAUAGCUACCACAAUGUCUGCCAUGCAAAAUUACUCCCAAUUGCAGAAUCUACUGCCUCUGGUGAAGGCACAAAUAACACCCUUCAGGACAGCUCCUGAAUGUUUUCCAUAGCAUUGUCUUAGAACUUGGGGGCAAAGUAAUCAAAAAGCAGGAGUCAAGCAUAAGCUACAGGACUUCCUCUUGGAACAGAGAACCAUCUCACAUGCCAGAAGGUAGAGGGUGACCCCCCCAGGUCCCAUCUGCUGAUCAUGUCAAGUGUCUGUUCAGGGACAGGGCUGAAGGAGGAAGGCAGCCAUCACCAAAGACCUCACCAGCCAAACAAGUGGUCCCCUCCGAGGGCACAGUCUCUAGUGAUGCCAGGUGUCCCAACCUGGACCCCAGGACACAGGUUACUCACUGGGGACACAUAAUCUUCCUGAUGAUGUGAUUCUGCCCAGACCCCAACUUUUUCUUGACCAGUGACUGCUGGCGAAUCAAAUCCUAAUGUAAACACCACAAAAACAGCUCGUGCAAUCUGUGUUGAGCACCGAUCUAUGACACAAACCAUUUAGAUGACUUUUUUUUGUCUUUUCUAGGGCUGCACACACAGCAUAUGGAGGUUCCCAGGCUAGGGGUCAAAUUGGAGCUGUAGCCGCUGGCCUACUCCAGAGCCACAGCAAUGUGGGAUCCGAGCCACGUCUGCAACCUAUACCACAGCUCAUGGCAACGCCGGAUCCUCAACCCACUAAGCAAGGCCAGGGAUCGAAUCUGCUACCUCAUGGUUCCUAGUUGGAUUCGUCAACCACUGAGCCAUGACGGAACUCCUAGAUGACGUUUUUGAUUCACUGUACUUUCGGAGACUUCCAAACACUUCAUUGUUCCCUACUAAAUGCAGAAAAUGUGCCAAGACAGGCAUCACUGGCAGCUUUUCUUGUUUUUAAACGUUUAAAAACAAAAGGAGUUUCCAAACAUCUGCCAAUCCUCAGGCAUCCUGCAUCCCUGAAGGGGGACCACAGCAGAAAUACAUAGACAACUACAAAAUAGUCCCUAGAAAAAUGUAAGCUCCUUGUAAAACCAACAUCUCCCCAUCAAACAUCCUUCGAAGUCAGCAGAGAAGUGAAGAUGCAUCAGAAAACAAAGUCAGUAUUACGGAAAUAGAGCUUGAAACACUGAACAUGAUUUCCUCAUGAUCCUCCUCACAGCCCCAUGUCCCCUCCUGCUCGCUGCCUUGGAGGAGAGAUGCUCUGCUCAGCAAGGGAAGAGGGAGCUGAGGAAACAGUGGCCACCCUGCCCUUCCCUCCAGUUCCGGGCACAUGCCAAACCUGCCUUGCAGGUCAGCUCUAAGAAUUCAAUUCUAAUUGCAAUAGCUUCGCACUGAGGAACGUUCGUCAAUUGCCAACAGUUAU
ensembl:lncRNA